rnacentral:lncRNA from 1 species
UUAACUUGUUUCUUAAAAAAAAAAAUCUCAUAGUCUAAAUAAUCAAAACCAAUUAUCUCCCAAGUUGUUUGAAACCCAAAGUUUUUUUUUUUUUUUUUUUAAAUAUAAUUAAUUUAAUUUAAGGAUAAUACAAUUCUAGAUGCACAAGUAAGCCAAAUCCUGAACCUUAGCAAACAGGCUGCGAAGACAUAUCCAGCAUCACAAAGAGAUUAAACCAACUUUCAAUUUUAUCUCUUCAAUUAAUAUACCCCAAAAAGGGGUUAAUUACAGCUUCAUCUUCUUAGCAUUAUUCUGAAUAAUCAAAGGUUUGGUGGAGCUGUAAAUGAAAUCAAUCGACUUAAACCUCCUUUUCCUCGGCUGGAGAUGCUCAUCCAAUGGAUAUUCAUCCAAUGGAUCUUUCUUCAAACUUUCCCUCGGCUCACUUUCUUCUUUCUUUUUUUCAGAUACCCUUUUGUUAGUACUGUAUUGUUGACAGAGCUGCAUCAGCUGACGAGCCAUUUCCAUCUCCAUCUCUGAGAAACUCGAGGGUUUUUUGCGUUUCCAUGCAGAUGAGGGUUUUGCCAUUAUUGGGUUUGACAGAUAAAAACAGAGAAAUUAGAAAA